GCCGCCCGCGCCGCCUCGGAGGCGGAGCUGCGCGGCCGGGAGAGAACGCGGGAAUGGGCGCCCUCUCAUGGACCUCCGUGCCUCAGAGGCCUGGUGUUCGGCACGGUGACCACAUCCAGCCCUGCGCAGAGCAUUGCGGUAGCACGGUGAGCCUGGGCCAGCAGGAAUCACGGAGUGACUUCAAGGUGCCGCUGGCUGCUGCGUUCCUGCCUUGGCCCAGCCUGGACCCCGAGAGCUGUCAUUUUGCAAACCUAUUUUGAAUGCUGUUUUUCAAACCAUAUUCUCUUUGCAUGGCUUUGCUGAAAGUGCCAUUAUCUUGCAUUUGUGAAGCGGCUUUCAUAAAACACCCCAACCUUUUUAUGUCUGCUGUUAUGGUUAUCUUGUCAGUUUAUUAAUCAUGAGCUAUGGAUUGCUUGGGCAUGAUAACUCUUGAAUAAUUUUUUUCAUCUGCAGUAUUCGAGAAACAGACCCUGAAAUAAUUCUCACUAUUAGCAGCUUGCAAGGACAGUAGGGUUUUAAAAUAAACAGGCUUACCUGUGUAAAAUAGUGUAACUCAGGGUAGCAUAAGGUAAAGAAUGGAAUUCUUUUCGCAUGUGUAUGGCAUGAAUUUUCAGAUUUCAGUAACAGGCUGUAGUGGCUGGGAUCUCACCUAUGGUUUGUACUUUGGGAUUUCACUUUCAUAAAAGCAACGCAAUACAUUCUGGGAUACAAAGAAUUUGGCUGAGACAUCUCACCCCAAAUACGUGCUUUUUCUGUUAGGUCUUCAAUCUCAGAAACAUACAGCUAUUUUGGAAAGAACCUUUAUCUUUGCAGACUGAGUUAACGACUAGCAACAGCAAAAUCAUAUUGCAUUAAAUGACAUCUGUUUUAUUUAACAAUUCUUGUUUCAAAAAUUAGUGACUGUAAUAUCACUUUUUGAGCUUCUGUCUAUACCUUCAUUCUCUUUAAUUUUAUUUAUUUAUUUCUCCCUUUAAUCCCUUCAUGUCCUUAAAUCCUUUGGUUCAGCCUAAUCCUUCAAAUCCUAUAAUUACUCAAACAAAGCAUUUUAACCUUGUGGCCUUCCCGGACUAUUGCCUAUUGCUUAUGACAUGUAGGUCUUGCUUGACUAAUGAUGUUUACUGCUGCAUUUUCUUUCCUAGGAUACUCAUGGAAAAUUUCAAGCCACAUAGCUCUGGUUUAUAGCUGUGCUCAGUGUCACAAUAUUACUGUGAGCAUUGUAAAGUAUGAGUAGUGGCUGCCUUCCACUCUUAGAACAAUUGCUUCUUUUAGUUAGAAUUUAUGCUUGACCUUGGUGUAAUCCCAAAUAAUUAAUCCCAGUAAUGCCUAGAUUUUGAUCAUUUUGAUUUCAAGUAACUAUUCCCAAAUUCUUUGUGUCUCUUCAAAAGUAUUUUUUUGCAAACUGUGAGGUGUAUAACCAGUUUAAUUCAGGCAUCUAAGAAUUACGGCAAUUGUUGACACUAUGUUGAUUUGCCCAAAUAUUUGUCUAAGCACUUAAUAAACACAUUAUAUUAAUUUCUCUUAGAAGAUUCUGAAUAUUAGGAUGAACAUGCUUGUUUAUGGUAUUUAUCAUUUUUCCUGUAAGGUAUUCUGUAAAGAAGCAGUCAUACCUUUACUUAGUUUAUUUAUUUUAUUUUUUGAAAGAGUAAUGAGUGGACCAGGCUGUGAUUAAAAUUAACAAGUGAUUUUAACAGGAAUGAUAUGUAAAAAGAUAAUGAAGAAUAUAAUAUAAUAUUAUAUAAUGUUUAUAUAAUACUAUUAAGGAGAAAAGGAAAUAAAGGUAUGAGAGGAAAUUUAGAAAAAGACUGCAAAUUUUAAUGACCUACAGUAUUGAAAGAAAAUGCCGUGUUGACAAUGGUGACAGCAAAUGAUAAUGUCAUAAGGGACUGGGUUUCAGUGAGAUCCAAAAGUGGAGAAAAGAAUAUAUAAAGGCAGAAAGAGACCGAAAAAUACUAGAGGGGUAUCAAGAAGAGGAGUAUCAAAUCAAGCAUGUGAAAAUACAGGGAAACAAAUACCUGGAAUGUGAGUAACAGAAACAAAUUAGCUUGAAGGAAUAAAGAAACUUACAUUUGUGUAUCUGUGAAUUUUGUAUGUAUUUUAAAUUAUUAUUAAACAUUAUGAUUCUAGCUGAAAAAAACCCCACAAUCCUGUUUUCAACAUUAAGCACCUGGGUUAGCAAAAAGUUCUAAACUGUUCUGAAUGUUUUAUACAGUAAGACAAUUACAUUUCUUUGGAGACAAUGACAAACAGAUGAGUCAUGAAAUCUGCAAUUUUACUCUGUGUUCAGCUGUUCCAAAGCUGUUGUGGGAGGUACACAUGCUUAUAGGGGGAUGUAUAUUGACAGCUUGAAUUCUGCAAGCUCAAGUAGGGGGAGACUCUCCUUGUUAAUGUUUUUAUGACCUGUGAGAAAAAUUCUCUAACCAAUGUUUGAGCCACGGCUUCUGGCCCUCACCUCUGUGCCUUUUAUGUACAGUUAAUAUCUCACAUAUUUGGGAUUGUACAUUGAGUGAUUUAUUUUAAUGUACCACAGUAUUCUUAACUGCCUAAACAAUACAUGGAAGCAUUUAUGAAAAUAUACUGGGAUGACUUUUAGGCACCAGAAACUUGUAUAUCUGGGCCUGACACAGAUUUAUGGUAUCGCCUUUUCCAGCAUGUCUUUGAAAGGAGUUCUGCCUAAGAAAAUAUUAAUUCUCCUUGUAAGGCACACUAAGCUCAGCUGAAAGCAACAGAAUUCCCAGGACUACUUUCUCAAUAUAAAUUCUUGGGAGAAUAUUUUUUUUUCUGAGAUUGAGUAACUGAGACUAAGCUAUUGAAAAUAAAAUUGGUUCAUAAACAA